GGGGCGUAGGGGCCUGCAGGGCGGAAGUAGCUCGGAGAGAGGGGCUGGGGCAGGACUUGGCGUUCGUGCGGUCAAAACUCACUGGUGGCGUUUGGGAUGCGCUCGUGGACGCGGCCUCCGCGCAGGCGGACCUCCACAGGAGUCGCGCACUGUUGCCCAGGCUGGAGUGCGGCGGUGCGAUCUCGGCUCACUGCAACCUCCACCUCCCGGAUUCAAGCGGUUCUCCUGCCUCGGCCUCCCGAGUAGCUGGGAUUACAGGCGCACACUAUUACACUCGGCUAAUUUUUUGUAUUUUUAUUAGAGACUGGGUUUCACUAUGUUGGCCAGACUGGUCGCGAACUUCUGACCUCGUGGUCCGCUCCUAGGCUUUCAGGCUCGCUCCCAAAGUGCUCGCUCCUAGGUUCGCCUUGGCCUCCCAAAGUGCUGGGAUUACUUUACAGGCGUGAACCACCGCCCUCGGCCGAGGGCGGGUUUUGUUCACUGCUGUGCCUGUCAGGCAGUCGUUGCCCUUUGAUUAUUUGUGGAGGGAUUGACUGUGUGCUCAGCUUCAGACUUUGAACAGCUUCGUGGCAGCAAGGAAGGGAGAAGGAAACAGAUCCAAGCGGAUCUUUGGGAGGAGACAACCAGCAUGACUUGGAGACUUCAGAUGUCAGAGCAAAGGACAGGGUGCAGCUCGGUGACCCGGAGUGGGUGGGCGGGUGAAUGGAUGUAUAGUGGGAAUGUGGUCUGCUGUCACUGCCCUCUUCUCUGUGUGGGAAGCCAGCUCUUGGUGACUUCCUGCCCGGGCCCACUCCCUCUGGCCCUGUCCGAGGGUGUCAGGUGUGCCCUUGACCCUUCACCCUGGACUAAGGGAUGUGCGAGGAGUUGGGGACAAAGGCAGCUAGGAGGAGGCGCUACCUCCCGAGUCCAACGCACUAAGUCACCAGUGUGUUCCUGUGGGUGGAGGCUGGCAGGCCCAUCAAUCUGGUUUGGGUACCCCCGUUGGAUUUGGGUUUGAUGACAUGUAAAGUAAGUUAGAUUCUCUGCAUUACUGUCACCUGCUGUGCCCAGGCAUGGAAGGUUAAGUGGAACAGAGGGGCCGUCCCCCUGCUGAAGGGGCCCCAGAGUCGGUGCUAGGGGAGGGGGUGGUCUCAGUGGUCCAGGCAGGCACAGGCGGAAUUGUCUCAGGUGGCAUUGGAGUCCAGUGGUCAGAGAGGUGCUGAAGGACCCCAAACCCAGAUCCCAUGCCCAGGGCCCCACUGACACCUGGUGGGGAGAGGCAGCCUGGUGACCCCACGUGACAUGGGUGGGGGUGACGCAGCCCCAGCUGGGCUGACAGCCCUCCCCCUGCUGAUUUUUAAUGCUCUGCAGUAAUUUCAUUUGGCCUGCGAAUAAGCUUUCACACAUUUUAUAUUAAAUCGACAAAUAUGAUUUAUUCAGGCACUUAUGAAUUUAAUCAAAAUUGUUUCUAAAUAUUACUGAUUUUUGUCAUCAAAUGUGCCAUCAGCUGUUGAGCUUUGAGAAUUGAGCAUCCUGGCUUUUGCCAUUUUGAGGAUCAGCAGAAGCAUGUCUGGAAGAAACGUGAGAAAGUAAAAGUCAGGAGCCUACCCCCACCCCGUCCUUCCAGGAGCUCAGCCUCAGAGCCAGGCUGCUAAGGCCAUGGAGGCUGAGGGCAGUGGAGCUGGGGCUUCUGGAGCCUCAGGGGCCCUGGUUUGCUGGAGGGGGCAGGUAGGGCUUUGCGGACAGGGCAUUACGCAGUGGCCAGAGCCCUGCAGUGCUGGGCACAGGCUUCUCGUGGGCUCUGGCCAUGGCCCUGAGCUCCUCCCCUUGCCUUCCCAGAGCUGAGGGUCACCUGCUGAGCUGGGCACCGGCUUCUCUUGGGCUCUUUCCACGGCCCUGAGCUCCUCCCCUUGCCUUCCCAGAGCUGAGGGUCACCUGCUGACUGGGGCGACUCUGUCUUGAGAGCAUGCCCUCAUGAAGGCAGAAUGUCCUCCCUGCCUCCAUCCUCUGUUGCCUGGUGGCUUCUGCAGUGCCUGCCCUUAGAGGCUCGUGGCCUGGGACACAGGGUUGGGGAUGGGCUUGGUGGUGCUGCAGGUCACAGUGGGUCAUGAAGGACCUUUGGGGAGGGUGUUGUAUUCUCUGGUAAAGCACAGCAAGGGAGCCCUUUUACCCACUAAAACCUGGCUCUGCACUGAGGCCAUGUGCAGCCCAGUCAGGUGGACGAGGGGGUAAUGACUCGACCUCGGGGGAGGCAUCAGAGGAGGAGCCGUGCCUGCUGAGAGGCGGGUCACCAUAGCCUGGCACCUGUCUGGAGAGGAUGGGGCUGGGGGAGGUGCUGGCCAGGUCCAUUGGGGUGGCCAGGCUGGGUCUGAAAGGGCCUUGUGCUGGUGUGGGGUGAGCUUGGUCUGUUGGGAGAGUAUACAGUUCAUUGAGGCCUCCCUGGCUCUGGGUUUGCAUGUCUGAGGAGUGGGUAUCAUCAGGGCCUGGGGCCCCUGCAGUGAGCACGUCUGGACUCUCCCAGGAUCGGGAGCCUGUGCUCAUCACAAGCUCAAAGCACUCCAUUUCUGCUACAAUGAAGUCAAGGAUAGUGACCGUGAGCCGCCUGGGACCUGAGCUGCCUGGGACUGUGACUGAGGCACCUGGGGUGCCUCUCAGGACCUGGGGGCUGAGCCCAUGGCUAGAUGAGCCUUGGUGAUGCUGUGGUAUUGCCUGGGCCAGGCGGACCCAGGGGCAGCUGCAGCUGGUCCAUGUGGAGCUCCUUCAAGCGGAAGCAUCUGACACCAGUGUCUGUGGGGUGUGGGCCCGGCCCCAGGAGCGGGGCCUGGGCAGCCCCGUGUGUUGAGGAAGGAAGGCAGGGCCCCCGCUCCCCGGGCCUGACCCCACUGCUUCAGCCCCCUCCUGCCUGCCUGCAGCCUGGCCUCGAGGGCCCAUCAGGUGAGGAGGGGAUCCCGCCUGCCCCACCCCAUCCUACCUCCUGGAGGAGGCCUUGCCCCUUACAGGCAGCCUCCAGCUCUCCCACCCUGAGCCCCGUGUGGGGUGACCAGAGCAUGCCCAGCAUGUUUGGGUUCGGGGAGCAUCUGGAGGGAGGGACAUCUCAGUUCCCUGAGGGGUGAGCAGCCUAAGUGACUCCCGUGCUGGGCCAUUUCCUGCAUUCUGGAGCUCCCCUUGAGCUGCCUGUCUGCAGGGGGCUCUGGCCAUUAGUGCAGCCAGGCACCAGCCUCCAUGCAGACCAGUCUGUGUGGGAGUGGGGGUCUCAGAGGGCCCAGCCGGCCUAUGCCAUGAGCAUGGUGCUGGCCCGGAGGGGAGCUGAACAGCAGCUGGGUCGGUGCGUUACCUGGUAGGGCAGUGGACAGCAGCUGCCCUGGCUGGGGUUCAACCCCCGGGCUGGCCUGGUGGAAUCCCCUCUGUCACUCCUAGGUUCUGUUCUUGCAGGUGUCAGGCCUGGGGCCUUGAGACAGACCUGCAGUCUCCACCGCAGCCACAGUGGGUGGGCUCUGGGUCCUCACGGAGGUGAUCCUCCACGCCCACCCUUACCUUGUGCGCGGCAGUGGUGUCCCCUGGAGUUGGUGAGACCCCACCUCACUCAGGAAGCCUCCCAGACACCCCCAGGCAGAAGUAGCCAUACUCCAGGGCCUGUGUCCAUAUGCCCCACAGUGCACCCUGACUGGUUUGUUGUAGGAACUCAGAAAAGCAAAGUAAACAGGAUGGUUCCCUGCUGGACACAUUUUUAUUGCAGAUCUUUAGUCCAGGAUUCCAGGGAUAGCCAAGGUCACCUGAGUCCUGGGGACUCUGGGCCUGGUCUCUGAAAGCAGCCAGCAAGACAGAGAUGGGAAACCCAGCAAGAUGGAGUGAGCCAAGGGCACAGGUGGGUCCAGGCGCAGCAGGGAGCUGCCUGGGGGUGACAGACACUGGAUGGAGGCCACUGCACACACCCUACCCCACCCUGAACUUGAGCACUUCCUUCUUUCCCCCCUCCCCCCCGCCC